rnacentral:sRNA from 1 species
GCCAGGCAUGGUGGUGCACGCCUGUAAUCCCAGCUGCUCGGGAGGCUGAGGUCGGAGGAACACAAGUUCAAGCCUGGGCGACAAAGUGAGUUACCUUCCUU